UAGGAAGAUUUCAGAGGUCGGAGCAUCCGAUCCCCGUCCCUCCUUCUCAUCGACGCUGGAAAGAAGAAAAGAUGGGGAUGAGAUCUCGCAUGGAGACGAUCAUCUCUUCGAUCGUUUUCGUCCAUCCCCACGAGAUCUCGGCUCUGAUCCACUCCGCUUCCUGCUUCUUCUUCAUCUUGAGCGCCUACUUUGUGAUUCUUCCGCUUCGGGACGAAGGGGCGAUAUCUUUGGGGCUGAACAAUCUUCCCGGUCUUUUUGUGGGUUCUCUUCUCCUGACGCUGGUCGCUGCUCCGCUGUCAACCCUAAUCUUUUCGCUUCCCAAUCUCUCCAAAUCUAGGGCUUUGGUUUUGAUACACAGAUUUUUUAGUGUAUCCCUUCUUAUAUUCUUCAUUCUUUGGCAUGCCUCAUCAUCUGCACAACUUCAUUCUGCCUCCAAGGUCUCAGAUCCUCAUUCAGCCCCAUCUGAAAAUGGAAAAGAAAAUGUCAGUUCAGAUAGUCCUAGCAAUUCUGCAGGAUGGGGUAACCAUGGUUGGUUUUAUAUUAUGGUCAGAAUAAGCUUGUUUCUAUGGGUUGCGUUGCUUAAUCUUGUUACAAUUUCAUCAACUUGGGCACGAGUAAUUGAUGUCAUGGACAGUGAGUCAGGCUCAAGAUUGUUUGGCUUCGUUGGUGCUGGCGCUACACUUGGUCAGCUCUUUGGCUCAUUGUGUGCGGCAAGUAUGGCUUGGCUAGGAUCAUUUCUGCUCCUGUUUUCUGCUCUCUUGAUGGAGCUUGCUGCACAGUCGUCUAAAGGAAUCAGCCAUGAUGCACACCAUGAUUCUGUGGAAUUAUCUACCACCAGUAGAGAAGAUAUUCAAGAUCAACAUACUGAUGCUGAAGAAGAGACAUCUGUCCUUGUAGAGUCUUCUCCAAAAUCACUUGCUCAUACGGUGAAACCUCACCUUUUUGUCAUGUUGGAAGGGCUUUGGCUGAUAAUGUCAUCAACGUAUCUCCUUUAUGUGUCCUUAUUUCUGUGGCUGAGUGCGGUUGUGUCUUCCUUCUUCUAUUUUCAGAAGGUAACAAUAAUUGCCAUGACUGUCACGAGCCCUCUUGCUAGAAGAAGAUCGUUUGCACUGAUAAACAGCUUCAUUGCUGUUUUUAUUCUUGCUGGACAACUUACUUUAACGGGUCGCAUUCUUACUGUUGCUGGUGUUACUGUUGCUAUUUGCUCAGCACCAUUCGUUGCAAUUUUAAAUAUGGUUGCUCUGGCUGUAUGGCCAACUUGGAUUGCAGUCGCUGCCUCUGAGACUAUUAGAAAGGUAACUACAUAUGUUGUAACAAGACCAGGAAGGGAACUGUUAUUCACUGUUGUCUCACGGGAUGAAAAGUACAAAGCCAAGGUAUGCAUAGAUGUUAUAGUUCAAAGACUCGGUGAUGCAACUGCAGCUGGAAUAUACAAGUUGCUCUUUGGCAACCUUAACAACCAUACAUCUGCAGUAUCUCUCUAUGCACUGCCAGUACGUUUUUUUCUACAUUCUCAGACAUAGAUUAUAGCUAUAGUGUGCAGUGAUGAAUGCAUGAUAUCUUGAGGGUUGUAUAAACCUUCUUCUCUGUCCGGGAGUUCAUUAAAAAAUCAAAAUGUUGCUUCUAGCGUAUUUUGGUUUGCUAUGAUGUGCCAUUGCACCAAUUGGUUGUUGGAGCCAUUGAUGUACCAUCCUAGGCGGCUUCUUCCGAUAAUGAUGGUCUUCAGCCAAUAUCUGAUCAGAAGGUUGUCAUCCAAUCUGCACGAAAUUAUAGCUAUAGAGGAUGCAAGCAGUGAUAUAUUAACUGAAUGGUCCGUUCAUUGAUAUGCUAGCAAUCACCAAUGAGAUUUGGUCCACAGGUUUACCCCUCUCCUCAGCUCAGUUGUUGGUGAGGGGUUCUGGGUUUGAAAUUGGAAGCUAUGUAUCUUGUGGUUAGCCACAGCAUUUCAUUUGGGACAGCGCCAAACAAAACUUGCAAAGCUACAGGCGAUUUCUACACCUUAAGUUUCUUUAGAAGGACCAAACAGACUACGUGGCAGAGAGAAAAAUGACAUACACUUCUUAGAUGAAGACAAACAGCAAGGAGCAGGAAUACCAGAAAAUUGUAGUUGAUUUGUGCUACAGCAGGUGACUUGUUAUAUAUUAUUGAAGUUUCUUCUGCUAUUGUAUAUUCACACAUGAUCAAAGCGUGCUCCUUCCACAAUUCAUCAACUAGGUCCGCCUUUGUCAGGCAAUUGUCUUGAUUGGCAUCAAUUGAGCUUUACUUGUAAGUACCUCUCAUUUGCUUGCAUGUGCGGAUAUCCAGAGGGUUAAUGAUCUUGACCCCUCCGUAAAUGAAAUCUUUGUGAUGUGACCAUCAGGUAUAUCUUUUGCCUAUGUCAGAAUUAAAAUAUUAGGUCUGGCUUGGAGGUAUUGUACCAGGUAGUGGAACUGGAUUCUCAAUGGCUUAGUUUGUAUUGUCAAAUGUCAUAUUUUAUUAUGCUCACAGCCCGCGAUAA